UUUUUUUUUCUGUCGUCUGAAUAUACACUAAAACCAUACUGGUUUAUUUUGGAAAAAUGCCUCCUUCACUGUCGAUGGCGGCGAAACGGCGGCAUUCAGUGACUGUUGUCUUGGUCUCUCCAUGAAUUCGAAGGCAAUCACGUAGUGACUCGUCGUCUCUCUCUCUCUCUCUCUCUCUCUCUCAAUCUCUCCUGGACAGUCGCCGGCACUAGCCCUCUCCCUCUAUCCUCGAAGGUCGACGGCACCGACCCUUUCUCCUCGAAUUAGACUGGAGUAGUGGAAGGCGAUACUGUUGGAAUCGAGAGAGCGGGAGAAGAAGUCAGUUCGCCUUUCAUUUGGAUCAAUCUUGAAAGCUUGGCUAUCGAAGGGGUAUUGUUCGGUUUUGCUGUGAGGAGGAAGAGGACCUGUGUUUUGGAUAACUGCAUUUUGAGCCAAGGAGAAGAUGAGGAACUUAGGUAUAGGGUUGUGAUCGAUACUUAGUUUUUGGGGUAUGCUUUGGAUGUGAAUGUGGAGAGGGCACAAGAUAUUCUCAUGCAUAAAAGACUAUUGCAUAUGGCCUGCCACUAGACCUGUAGUCUAAGUCCGUCUUGUGCAGUCAUCCACCACCACCUUUUGGUUGGUCUGAAGACCUUGAACUUGCUCUUGAAGCCAAGUUCAACAUGGGAAUAACAUUGAAUUCCUUUCCAAGGUAAAA